AUCAUAGCAAUAGUAACUCUAACUAGGAC
rnacentral:piRNA from 1 species